GGAUUCCCCUAGUAACUGCGAGUGAAGCGGGAAGAGCUCAAAUUUAAAAUCUGGCGCCCUUCUGGACGUCCGAGUUGUAGUCUGGAGAAGUGUUAUCCGCGUCGGACCGUGUACAAGUCUCCUGGAACGGAGCGUCAUAGAGGGUGAGAAUCCCGUCCAUGACACGGACGCCCGAUGCUAUGUGAGGCACUCUCAAAGAGUCGAGUUGUUUGGGAAUGCAGCUCAAAAUGGGUGGUAAAUUCCAUCUAAAGCUAAAUAUUGGCGAGAGACCGAUAGCGAACAAGUACCGUGAGGGAAAGAUGAAAAGCACUUUGGAAAGAGAGUUAAACAGUACGUGAAAUUGUUGAAAGGGAAACGCUUGAAGUCAGUCGCGUCCCGUGGAACUCAGCCUGGUUUCGACCUGGUGUACUUUCCAUGCGGACGGGUCAACGUCAAUUUCGGCCGGUGGACAAGGGCGAGGGGAAUGUAGCGUUGCUUCGGCGACGUGUUAUAGCCCCCCGUCGUAUACGCCGGCGGGGAUUGAGGACCGCAGCACGCCCUUGUGGCCGGGGGGUUCGCCCCCACGUAACGUGCUUAGGAUGU
rnacentral:rRNA from 1 species